AUGGAGGUUCCCCCACAAAAAGUUUAUAUGGCUAUUUCUCCUUCUUCUUCCUUUCCAGGAGAAACUGGGAGAGAAGUGGCAUUCCAAAGGGACUCUGCCAGACUGUCCCAUGAGCUUUGGGAAGCCUCUCCGCCAGAACGCCGCCGCGCCGCCAUCAGGGCCACCAGCCGUGUGCAGCCUAUCAAGCUGGCCAGGGUCACCAAGGUCCUGGGCAGGACCGGCUCUCAGGGACAGUGCACGCAGGUGAGCGUGGAAUUCAUGGACGACACGAGCCGAUCCAUCAUCCGCAAUGUAAAAGGCCCCGUGCGUGAGGGCGACGUGCUCACCCUUUUGGAGUCAGAGCGAGAAGCCCGGAGGUUGCGCUGAGCUUGGCUGCUCACUGGGUCUUGGAUGUUGGGUUCGACCACUUGGCCGAUGGCAAUGGUCUGUCACAAUCUGCUCCUUUUGUUUUUUACUCGCCAAAUGGAAUUGAGAUGCGCCUUUAAAUAAAGCGUUUGUGUUUCAAGUUAAAAAAAAAAAA